rnacentral:lncRNA from 1 species
GAAACCAUUGUCAUCUUCCUCCUACGGCUCCUACAUGAGAUAGGCAUCCUCUUCUUUUCACCUACGGCCCGUCACGGGAUUUCUUCCUUCCUUCUUCUCUGAUCCAAUCACGUCCAGAACGUAGCUGUUCCACAUGGUCAUGAAAGGAUUGCGCGCUAUCACAUUUUGGGAUUUUCCAAGAAAUGAAAGAAUAAGAAAGAGAGCAAGAAAGAGCAACUAUAAAAGAAGGCCAAAAUAGAAUAUCAGGCAAAUCAACUCUACCUUUGCAAGCCCUGCACUAACCAAUGAAAAAUUGACAAUGUUUAAAGAUUUUUUAAAUAAAAGAAUGAAUGGAUAAUAGAUACAGGUGUCUCUCAACAUAUGACUGUGGAAAUCAGAUUGUUUAAAACAACAAGAGCACUUGAUUAUUUAUGAUCACUAUAUUAAGUGGUGAAAACUGUAAAGUAAAACAGAUUGGAGAUAUAGAAUUAAACAAAAUUAUAAUACUAAGAAAUGUUUUAUAUAUACCAGAAUUCAGAGUAUAUUUAAUCUCAAUAAGUAAACUAUCAAUAUACAUUGAUAUAUUGAUCAUUUAUUUAUCAAACAAAAUGUGUUUGCAGUAAAACAGAGUGUGAUUGGUAAUAACAGUGUUUGGCAAUCUCUAACAUCUUUGAAUUUUACUAAUUGCUUUUUAAUUUCCUCUCUCUAUUUAACAAAAAUUUA